rnacentral:rRNA from 1 species
AUUGAACGCUGGCGGCAUGCUUUACACAUGCAAGUCGAACGGCAGCGCGGACUUCGGUCUGGCGGCGAGUGGCGAACGGGUGAGUAAUAUAUCGGAACGUGCCCAAGAGUGGGGGAUAACGUAGCGAAAGUUACGCUAAUACCGCAUACGAUCUAAGGAUGAAAGUGGGGGAUCGCAAGACCUCAUGCUCCUGGAGCGGC